GAUGAACGCUGGCGGCGUGCCUAACACAUGCAAGUCGAGCGAACAGACGAGGAUCUUGCUUUUCUCACGUUAGGCGCGGACGUGUGAGUAACACGUGGAUAACCGACCUAUAAGACUGCGAUAUACUCGGGAAACCGGAGCAAAUACCGGAUAAUAUAUUGAACAACAUGGUUCAAUAGUAAAAGACGGUUUUGAUGUCACUUAUGGAUGGAUCUGCGCCGCAUUAGCUAGUUGGUAAGGUAAGGGCUUACCAAGGCGACGAUGCGUAGCCGACCUGAGAGGGUGAUCGGCCACACGGGAACUGAGACACGGUCCAGACUCCUACGGUAGGCCGCAGUAGGGAAUCUUCCGCAAUGGGCGAAAGCCUGACAGAGCAACGCCGCGUGAGUGAUGAAGGUCUUCGGAUCGUAAAACUCUGUUAUUAGGGGAGAACAAAUGUGUAAGUAACUAUGCACAUCUUGACGGUACCUAAUCAGGAAGCCACGGCUAACUACGUG
rnacentral:rRNA from 1 species